UGGGGAAUAUUGCACAAUGGGCGCAAGCCUGAUGCAGCCAUGCCGCGUGUAUGAAGAAGGCCUUCGGGUUGUAAAGUACUUUCAGCGUGGAGGAAGGCGUUGUGGUUAAUAACCGCAGCGAUUGACGUUACUCGCAGAAGAAGCACCGGCUAACUCCGUGCCAGCAGCCGCGGUAAUACGGAGGGUGCAAGCGUUAAUCGGAAUUACUGGGCGUAAAGCGCACGCAGGCGGUCUGUCAAGUCGGAUGUGAAAUCCCCGGGCUCAACCCGGGAACUGCAUCCGAAACUGGCAGGCUAGAGUCUUGUAGAGGGGGGUAGAAUUCCAGGUGUAGCGGUGAAAUGCGUAGAGAUCUGGAGGAAUACCGGUGGCGAAGGCGGCCCCCUGGACAAAGACUGACGCUCAGGUGCGAAAGCGUGGGGAGCAAACA
rnacentral:rRNA from 1 species